rnacentral:rRNA from 1 species
GAGUUUGAUCAUGGCUCAGGAUGAACGCUGGCGGCGUGCUUAACACAUGCAAGUCGAACGGUGAAGCCAAGCUUGCUUGGUGGAUCAGUGGCGAACGGGUGAGUAACACGUGAGCAACCUGCCCUGGACUCUGGGAUAAGCGCUGGAAACGGCGUCUAAUACUGGAUAUGAGCCCCUAUCGCAUGGUGGGGGUUGGAAAGAUUUUUUGGUCUGGGAUGGGCUCGCGGCCUAUCAGCUUGUUGGUGAGGUAAUGGCUCACCAAGGCGUCGACGGGUAGCCGGCCUGAGAGGGUGACCGGCCACACUGGGACUGAGACACGGCCCAGACUCCUACGGGAGGCAGCAGUGGGGAAUAUUGCACAAUGGGCGAAAGCCUGAUGCAGCAACGCCGCGUGAGGGAUGACGGCCUUCGGGUUGUAAACCUCUUUUAGCAGGGAAGAAGCGAAAGUGACGGUACCUGCAGAAAAAGCGCCGGCUAACUACGUGCCAGCAGC